AACGAACGCUGGCGGCAGGCCUAACACAUGCAAGUCGAACGCCCCGCAAGGGGAGUGGCAGACGGGUGAGUAACGCGUGGGAACGUACCCUUCGGUUCGGAAUAACCCGGGGAAACUCGGGCUAAUACCGGAUACGUCCGCAAGGAGAAAGAUUUAUCGCCGAAGGAUCGGCCCGCGUCGGAUUAGCUAGUUGGUGGGGUAACGGCCCACCAAGGCGACGAUCCGUAGCUGGUCUGAGAGGAUGA
rnacentral:rRNA from 1 species